UAAUACCAGCUCCCCGAGUGGUCGGGACGAUUACUGGGCCUAAAGCGCCCGUAGCCGGCCCAGUACGUCUCCUGUUAAAUCCACCGGCUCAACCGGUGGGCCGCGGGAGAUACUACUGGGCUAGGAGACGGGAGAGGCCGGGGGUAUUCCCGGGGUAGGGGUAAAAUCCUCUGAUCCCGGGAGGACCACCAGUGGCGAAGGCGCCCGGCCAGAACGUGCUCGACGGUGAGGGGCGAAAACUGGGGGAGCGAACCGGAUUAGAUACCCGGGUAGUCCCAGCUGUAAACGAUGCGGGCUAGGUGCUGGAGGGGCUGCGGGCCUCCCCAGUGCCGCAGGGAAGCCGUUAAGCCCGCCGCCUGGGGAGUACGGCUGCAAGGCUGAAACUUAAAGGAAUUGGCGGGGGGGCACCACAAGGGUGAAGCCUGCGGUUC
rnacentral:rRNA from 1 species